rnacentral:pre_miRNA from 1 species
AAUGUAUGAUGCCGUUGAUUUUUUAACCGACGUUUGACCAUUCGUCUUAUUUAAAAAAUUUAUGUUAUUAUCAUUUAUUUUACCGCGAUUUGAUUUAUCAUCAAAUGUUUUUUAAGCAUGACAUAAUUUUUUUUAUAUUUACACAAAAAUUUUGAAUAAGACGAAUGGUCAAAUGUUAAUUAAAAUAUCAACGGCGUCAUAUAUU